GCAGUAUACAACUCUGAGAUUCGUCUUCUCCAGAUAGCCACGAAACAAACAAAACCAUGGAAGCCAUUCAAACAAAAAACAUCCACUACUCCCCCAAUCUGCACAAAUAAACAAAUCGUGCCAACAGCAACAAGAGCAUUGAACUGACCUCACACACGAAAAGCAAAUUGCGCAAAUAACAACAACAACAUCAAUUCUCCCUACCCCACACACAGAGUAACGCAAGAGAGUGGGGAAUUUCACACCUGUUUAUCAACUUAUAAUGCCUCAAAGCCAGAGUUGUGUUUUCUAUCAUUUCCACAGUUAAAUGCACAGGUACAAUAAAAAAAACUUGUAGCAUCAGAUACACAAUACUUCAGAAUCAGAAUCAGAAUAAGAAUCAGGUUUAUUAUCACCGGCAUGUGUCUUCAAAUUUGUUAACUUAGCAGCGGCAGUUCAAUGCAGUACAUGAUCUAGAAGAAGAAGAAAAAAAAAUAAAUAAAAGUGAUAAUAAAUAAAUAUGUUAAUCAAUUACAGUAUAUGUAUAUUGAACAGAACAAAAAUUUGUACAAAAAACAAAAAUAAUAUAUAUUUUAAAAGGGAGGUAGUGCUCAAGGGUUCAAUGUCCAUUUAGGAAUCAGAUAGCAGAGGGGAAUAAGCUGUCCCUGAAUCGCUGAGUGUGUGCCUUCAGGCUUCUGUACCUCCUACCUGAUGGUAACAGUGAGGAAAGGGCAUGUCCUGGGUGCUGGAGGUCCUUAAUAAUGGAUGCUGCCUUUUCAAGACACCACUCUUUGAAAAUAUCCUGGGUACUUUGUAGGCUAGUAUAGUGGCUGUCUUGCCUUCUUUAUAACUGCAUCGAUAUGUUGGGACCAGUUUAGGUCCUCAGAGAUCUUGACACCCAGGAACUUGAAGCUGCUCACUCUCUCCUCCUCUGAUCCCUCUAUGAGGAUUGGUAUGAGUUCCUUCGUCUUACCCUUCCUGAAGUCCACAAUCAGCUCUUUCGUCUUACUGACGUUGUGUGCCAGAUUAUUGCUGCAACAUCAUUCCAUUAGUUGGCAUAUCACAAGAUAAACAUAUAUUGUACACAAUUUUUACAAGAUAGAACCUGAUUGGAACAAAAAAUAUUCCUAAUCACUACCUCAGUGUUGUUAUAAAGGGUUUUGCUGGAUGAUUCAAGAACUGACUGGCUGAAGGGAAGUAGCUGUUCUUGAACUUGGUAGUGUGAGUCCCCAGACUUCUCCUUGCAGCCCAGUGGAAACUGCAAGAAGAUAGCAUGGCCUUAAGGGACAUGAUCCUAGCUGCCUUCUUGAGGCAGCACCUCCUGUAGAUGCCAUUGAUGGUGGGGAGGAAUCUGCCAUGAUAUCUGACUCACUGCAGCUUCUCACAUUCCUGCUGAUUCAAAUUACCACACCAGUCCACAGUGCAACCAGUCAGAACACUUUUAACCAUACGUCCGAAUUAGUUUGUUGGUUACUCUAAACCUCCUUCAUCUUCUCUCUCCAGCUUAUAGUUACAGUACGUGACAUGGUCAACAUUGACUGAAUUGUACUGCACUUAGGGCAGCUCUCAGAAGAAAGCAGCUCAGAUCCAAUGCAGGGCUGAAGUCACAUAUAGGCCAAUCAGCAUAAGGUCCUUCAUAGAACGCAGAUCGCUUUCUCUAAAGGGCAUUAGUAAAUCUGAUGGAUAGUUUCAUGCUCACCAAUACUGUACCAACAUCACACACAAAAUCCAGGAGGAAUUCAGCCAGUCAGGCAGCAUCUACGGAAAUGAAUAGAUAGUCGAUGUUUCGGGCUGAGUCACGUCUUCAGGGCUGAGACGGAAGGGAGGAAAAUGCCAGAAUAAAAAGGUGGAGGGAGGGGAAAGAGACAGCUGGAAGAUGAUAGAUGAAGCCAGGUGGGUGGGGAAGGUCAAAGGCUGGAGAAAGAAAAAUCUGAUAGGAGAGGAGAGUGAACCAUAGGAGAAAGAGAAGAAGGAAGUGACUCGGGGGGAAGUAGUAGGCAGCUGAGGUCAGAGUGGGGUAUAGUGGAUGUGGGGAAAUAUUCAUGCCAUCCGGUUGGAGGGUACCCAGACAGAAUACAAGGUGUUGCACCUCCACACUGGGGGUCAUGUCUUGGCACAAGAGGAGGCCAUGGACUAACACUUGGGAAUGAGAAUGGGAAUGGAGGUGAGGGAGGAGGGGUAUGGGCAGGUGUAGCACUUAGGCCACUUGCAGACCUGCUGAGCUCCCCCAGCAUUUUGUGAUGUGUUUCUUUAGAUUUCCAGCAGCUGCAGACUUUAUCGUGUUCCUAAAAUUGUGCCAGCUCUUUAUUCAAGAUUUAUAAUGGGGCCGGUGUUGAAAGUCACCCUUAUGUUUAUCAAAGCUAUGAUAUCAUUAGAAACGAUGCAGAACAGAUCUUUUCAGUGGGAGAAGACCAGGGCCAGGAGACAGUAAAUGAUUAGCUAGCGAGCAGUGAAGUUGAAAGUUUGACAGACCUUCCUCUCAUCCGGCGCCCCCGGAGGAAGGUCCCUGUACUCAAACAGUCCCUCUCUCCCUCUCCCUCGAUGCUGUCAGAGGAGUCCUGGGUCUCAGGCAAGGUUUAAUCGACGUGGUUUGUGGAUUGGACUCUGUAGUUCAUGUUACAAUGUGUUUCUGGUUUCUGGUUGCUCCAUUUCUCGUUGCCAUUUUGAGCAAUUUUGAUCAGGGUGGACUGCUUCUGUGGCUUGAAGAUAAAGUACGGCACAGCGCUGGUUAGCUUGAAGCAAGCUAGACUGAAUUUGCCUGGACUCUUUCAACGCCUUUGUGCCACUUUCUACUCUGGAACCUUUCCAGUAAAGACCAGAAGACACAGAUUUGAAGAGAUUGGCAAAGGAAUUAAAUGAAACAUGAGGAAAAACUUUCACUAUACAACAUGUGUUUGGGAUUUGGAAAGAUACGGUUGAUUAGGUAGUGGAAACAGAUUAAAUGGGAGCUUUGGAAAGGGAAUUCUAUAAUGCUUGAGAGAAAAAAAUAGCUGGGAUUUGAGGAGAG